rnacentral:misc_RNA from 1 species
CAUGAAUCCAAUAAUAUCUCACAUCUAUGUGUUUUGUUCUUGCAUGGUACAUGGAGUUCUUGCUCAAGUAUAUUGCACUUUGACUGUCACAAUCGAUAAGAUACUCCAUCUGUUGCAAUCCAAGUUCUUGAAGGAUUCGCUUGAACCAUAUUAUCUCUCUGCUAGAUUCAAUAGACGAAAUAUACUUUGCUUCAAUUGUAG